GUGUUUAAGUUGGAUAAAUUUCAAAGAAGUUUGAUUUCUUAUUCAAUAUCCAUUCAGCACUUCUAUUGUUCUAAAAAUAUCGCAGAAAUACUUCUUCCUGUUGUCUUGGCCUUGUAGUGGAGUUUUAUCUGCAAAGAAUUGACGUAGCUAAGCAAAAAUAAGUUUCUAGCCUCACAGGCUGCCCAGGAUCUGUCCUUAUUUUGUUAGCUAAGAUAUCGAGUUCGUCAAAAAGAAAUAGCACAAUCAAAACACUAAAGCCACUCUUAGAAAGAAAGAAGCUUGACUAAUUUUAGUUUAGUGAGUAUUGGCAAAAUGCGAUUAGCUGCCUAAAUAAGGUUAUGCUAUGGAAAGGGAAAAUGUUCUAAAGAGAGAAAUUCGAUAGUCUCCGCUCUUAACUAAACCUCUGCUUGUGCUGUGUACAGAUUCUACGAACAUGAUAACUUUAGGGAUUAUUUAUUUUUAAUAAUCAUUAUUCUGUUCAGCUAUCAUAAAAUGGAUAUAAUAAAAACAUGUAUAAUCUUGUUUUUUUUAUUGUAUAUGCCAUAUCACAACAAUGAUUGGGGCAAGAAAGAUUUUCAAGAGGAACAUAUUCAGCAGAACUUCAUCUACCCAAAAA